UGAGGAAUAUUGGUCAAUGGGCGGAAGCCUGAACCAGCCAUGCCGCGUGCAGGACGACGGCCCUACGGGUUGUAAACUGCUUUUCCGGGGGAAGAAUAACCCCCCUGCGGGGGGGAUGCCGGUACCCCGGGAAUAAGGAUCGGCUAACUCCGUGCCAGCAGCCGCGGUAAUACGGAGGAUCCUAGCGUUAUCCGGAUUUACUGGGUUUAAAGGGUGCGUAGGCGGGCGUUUAAGUCCGCGGUGAAAGUCUGCGGCUCAACCGUAGGAUUGCCGUGGAUACUGGACGUCUUGGAUUCGGUCGGGGCGGCGGAAUGCGUGGUGUAGCGGUGAAAUGCAUAGAUAUCACGCAGAACGCCGAUAGCGAAGGCAGCUCGCCGGGCCGAAAUCGACGCUGAGGCAC
rnacentral:rRNA from 1 species